rnacentral:rRNA from 1 species
GACGAACGCUGGCGGCGUGCUUAACACAUGCAAGUCGAACGGAAAGGCCCUGCUUUUGUGGGGUGCUCGAGUGGCGAACGGGUGAGUAACACGUGAGUAACCUGCCCUUGACUUUGGGAUAACUUCAGGAAACUGGGGCUGAUACCGGAUAGGAGCUCCUGCUGCAUGGUGGGGGUUGGAAAGUUUUGGCGGUUGGGGAUGGACUCGCGGCUUAUCAGCUUGUUGGUGGGGUAGUGGCUUACCAAGGCUUUGACGGGUAGCCGGCCUGAGAGGGUGACCGGCCACAUUGGGACUGAGAUACGGACCAGACUCCUACGGGAGGCAGCAGUGGGGAAUAUUGCACAAUGGGCGGAAGCCUGAUGCAGCAACGCCGCGUGCGGGAUGACGGCCUUCGGGUUGUAAACCGCUUUCGCCUGUGACGAAGCGUGAGUGACGGUAAUGGGUAAAGAAGCACCGGCUAACUACGUG